rnacentral:rRNA from 1 species
UGGGGAAUAUUGGACAAUGGGGGAAACCCUGAUCCAGCCAUGCCGCGUGAGUGAUAAGGCCUUCGGGUUGUAAAGCUCUUUUGGCAGGGACGAUGAUGACGGUACCUGCAGAAUAAGCUCCGGCUAACUUCGUGCCAGCAGCCGCGGUAAUACGAAGGGGGCUAGCGUUGUUCGGAAUUACUGGGCGUAAAGGGCGCGUAGGCGGUUUGACAAGUCAGGUGUGAAAGCCCAAGGCUCAACCUUGGAAUAGCACUUGAGACUGUCUUACUUGAAUUCGGGAGAGGUGAGUGGAAUUCCCAGUGUAGAGGUGAAAUUCGUAGAUAUUGGGAAGAACACCAGUGGCGAAGGCGGCUCACUGGACCGACAUUGACGCUGAGGCGCGAAAGCGUGGGGAGCAAAC